rnacentral:misc_RNA from 1 species
CAACCCUCAAGUGCUUUAGUGCUUGGUGUUGGGGCUCCUGCUGCUUGCAGCAGGCCCUGAAAGAUAGUGGCGAGGUCGCCGUGACCCUGAGCGUAGUAGUUUACACCUCGCUUCUGUGGCUCGCGGCGGGUUCUCAGCCGUGAAACCCCCUAAUUUUCACAA